rnacentral:piRNA from 1 species
UGUUACAGCAACUUUUAGGUAUAUGCCCAA